GCCCGGACAGCUCAGUCGGUAGAGCGUUAAGCUUUUAACUUAACGGUCCUGGGUUCGAGUCCCUAUUCGGGCA
rnacentral:tRNA from 1 species